CUACGAAGGGGGCUAGCGUUGUUCGGAUUUACUGGGCGUAAAGCGCACGUAGGCGGAUUGAUCAGUUAGGGGUGAAAUCCCGAGGCUCAGCCUCGGAACUGCCUUUAAUACUGUCAGUCUAGAGACCGGAAGAGGUGAGUGGAACUCCUAGUGUAGAGGUGGAAUUCGUAGAUAUUAGGAAGAACACCAGUGGCGGAGGCGGCUCACUGGUCCGGUACUGACGCUGAGGUGCGAAAGCGUGGGGAGCGAACAGGAUUAGAAACCCGGGUAGGCC
rnacentral:rRNA from 1 species